AUUGAACGCUGGCGGCAUGCCUUACACAUGCAAGUCGAACGGCAGCACGGGAGCAAUCCUGGUGGCGAGUGGCGAACGGGUGAGUAAUAUAUCGGAACGUGCCCAGUCGUGGGGAUAACGUAGCGAAAGCUACGCUAAUACCGCAUACGAUCUAUGGAUGAAAGCGGGGGAUCGCAAGACCUCGCGCGAUUGGAGCGGCCGAUAUCAGAUUAGGUAGUUGGUGAGGUAAAGGCUCACCAAGCCGACGAUCUGUAGCUGGUCUGAGAGGACGACCAGCCACACUGGGACUGAGACACGGCCCAGACUCCUACGGGAGGCAGCAGUGGGGAAUUUUGGACAAUGGGCGCAAGCCUGAUCCAGCAAUGCCGCGUGCAGGAUGAAGGCCUUCGGGUUGUAAACUGCUUUUGUUACGGAACGAAACGGUGAGCNCUAUACAGUUUGCUAAUGACGGUACCGUAAGAAUAAG
rnacentral:rRNA from 1 species